ACAAAACUAGACACUACAGACA
rnacentral:misc_RNA from 1 species